CUCCGUUUAGGUGGAGUGACAGCCUCCUUCGUUGCCUCGGAAUAGUUGGGAGACGGUUUCGUCACUUGCCGUUGGGAUGUACGAGGACUGCCCCUUUCGCUGUCCGGUGGUUUUUUGGAGAACGACGGAAUUCUCUGGGGGAGUUUUUUUUCUUCUGUCUUUGAGGCGCGCCGAGGCGGAUGGUUCUGGGGCUUGGGAGGCAGGUAGCGAGUUUGUUUCUGGUUUAACUUAUGCUGGAGCGCGUCGUUUUGCGCCGUCAGCAACUCGAUUUGUUUCCUUUGCAUUUCCACCGUCUUCGCCAGCUCCUCAUGGGUGUUGGGACCUUGGGUCGCUUCACCUGGCUGCCGUCCUGUAUCCGCCUUCUUCCGGGAUUUUAAGCUGUUUCGGGAGGCGCCUGGGACUCUCGACUCUUGCCGUUCGAGACGGAGGAGAUUGACCUCUCGACGGAGAUCAUUUAUUUCACAGAUCAAGGAAGCGUUCUCCUGCAUGAUUUUGAUGUUGUCUUGUCGGUGGACUUCCGAGUCUUUGGCUAGGCGGCGUUUGAGAGACUCCACCGACUUCUCCAAAUAGUCCCUCUGCCGAUUUUGCUCCUUCAGGAUAUCAAAGUCGACGUCGUUCUUGGCGAGCUCGUUUGUGAUGUACUUUUGGUAGAGACGCGUGAUCGCCUCUUUCCGUUUCUUCGGGUCUUGAAUGUUUUGAACGCACUCGUACAAGUCGUUCUUCAUUCGCUUCAUCUGUUGCUCGGCUAUGGCAAGCUGCUGACGCCGGUCCACGAUUUCGUCC
rnacentral:lncRNA from 1 species